rnacentral:rRNA from 1 species
GAUCCUGGCUCAGGAUGAACGCUAGCUACAGGCUUAACACAUGCAAGUCGAGGGGCAUCGGGAAGAAAGCUUGCUUUCUUUGCUGGCGACCGGCGCACGGGUGAGUAACACGUAUCCAACCUGCCCUUUACUCGGGGAUAGCCUUUCGAAGAAAGAUUAAUACCCGAUAGCAUAAUGAUUCCGCAUGGUUUCAUUAUUAAAGGAUUCCGGUAAGGAUGGGGAGUGCGUUCCAUUAGGUUGUUGGUGAGGUAACGG